AUGGCUCAGAUUGAACGCUGGCGGCAGGCCUAACACAUGCAAGUCGAACGGAACCUUCGGGUUUAGUGGCGAACGGGUGAGUAAUGCCUAGGAAUCUGCCUAUUAGUGGGGGAUAACGAAUCGAAAGGUUCGCUAAUACCGCAUACGUCCUACGGGAGAAAGAGGGGGAUCUUCGGACCUCUUGCUAAUAGAUGAGCCUAGGUCGGAUUAGCUAGUUGGUGAGGUAAAGGCUCACCAAGGCGACGAUCUGUAGCUGGUCUGAGAGGAUGGCCAGCCACACUGGAACUGAGACACGGUCCAGACUCCUACGGGAGGCAGCAGUGGGGAAUAUUGGACAAUGGGCGCAAGCCUGAUCCAGCCAUGCCGCGUGUGUGAAGAAGGCCCUCGGGUUGUAAAGCACUUUAAGCGAGGAGGAAGGUCAUCAUACUAAUAUUAUGAUGAAUUGACGUUACUCGCAGAAUAAGCACGGCUAACUCUGUGCCAGCAGCCGC
rnacentral:rRNA from 1 species